rnacentral:rRNA from 1 species
UGGGGAAUAUUGCGCAAUGGGCGAAAGCCUGACGCAGCGACGCCGCGUGGAGGAUGAAGGUCUUCGGAUUGUAAACUUCUGUUAAGUGGGAAGAAAUGUCUAUCUCUAAUACAGAUAGAAGAUGACGGUACCAUUAGAGAAAGCACCGGCUAACUUCGUGCCAGCAGCCGCGGUAAUACGAAGGGUGCAAGCGUUAUUCGGAAUAAUUGGGCGUAAAGGGUGUGUAGGCGGUAUAUUAAGUCUGUUGUUAAAUGCUCCGGCCUAACCGGAGACUUGCGGUGGAAACUGAUAUGCUUGAGGAUGGAAGAGAGAAGUGGAAUUCUCGGAGUAGCGGUAAAAUGCGUAGAUCUCGAGAGGAACACCAAUGGCGAAGGCAGCUUCUUGGUCCAUUUCUGACGCUGAAACACGAAAGCGUGGGGAGCAAACAGGAUUAGAUACCCCCGUAGUCC